AGAAAUGGAGUAUGCUCCUCCAAUCCUGUCCCUGAAUGCUAAGUUCCCGGGGAACUCCCAUGAUGCCCAUGUCAUUAGACAAUCAGGGAUAUGGCACAGAUUAAGAUCGAUGGAAAGACAAGACAUGUGGUUAUUGGGAGACCGUGGAUAUCCUUGCACCCCCUGGCUCAUGACUCCUUACAGUAAGCCCAGGCCAGGACCACAGACGGCAUUUAACUCCGCUC